AAUAGAUACCCUGGUAGUCCAUGCCGUAAACGUUGGGCACUAGGUGUGGGGCUCAUUCCACGAGUUCUGUGCCGCAGCAAACGCAUUAAGUGCCCCGCCUGGGGAGUACGGCCGCAAGGCUAAAACUCAAAGAAAUUGACGGGGGCCCGCACAAGCGGCGGAGCAUGCGGAUUAAUUCGAUGCAACGCGAAGAACCUUACCAAGGCUUGACAUACACCGGAAAAGUGCAGAGAUGUGCUCCCGUAAGGUCGGUGUACAGGUGGUGCAUGGUUGUCGUCAGCUCGUGUCGUGAGAUGUUGGGUUAAGUCCCGCAACGAGCGCAACCCUCGUCCCAUGUUGCCAGCGGGUUAUGCCGGGGACUCAUGGGAGACUGUCGGGGUCAACUCGGAGGAAGUGGGGAUGACGUCAAAUCAUCAUGCCCCUUAUGUCUUGGGCUUCACGCAUGCUACAAUGGCCGGUACAAAGGGCUGCGAUACCGCGAGGUGGAGCGAAUCCCAAAAAGCCGGUCUCAGUUCGGAUUGGGGUCUGCUAACC
rnacentral:rRNA from 1 species